rnacentral:sRNA from 1 species
UAACAUGCUGCGCAUUUCCUUUCUUGCU